rnacentral:lncRNA from 10 species
CUGAUUCUGACAUAUGUCGUUGAGGAGGGGAGGGAUGACUGCCCCCGUUUUACUUAUGGAGAACCUGGGGCCAGAGCUGUUUUCCCAGGGUGACACAGGCGGUGAGUAGUGGAGCUGGCAUUCCUGACCCCAAAGCGCAGCGUUUCCCAGCCACUCUCCGCAGCCAGGCCUUCACCUGCACUGCUGGGCGCAGGUGGGGAAGUGGGGAAACGGGACUCCAUCCCCUGCAGAGGGCAGGCGUGUAGGGAGUGGCAGCUGAACUCCACAGACAGCUACUGCUCAGCUCUUCAGCUGCCGACUUUGAACAGUGUGAGGGGCUCUGUACAAGUGGCCCCCACAUUACUCAAGGACCAGAUCAUCA